GAGUUUGAUCGUGGCUCAGGACGAACGCUGGCGGCAUGCCUAAUACAUGCAAGUCGAACGAGGUUUCCUUAAUGAUAGUUGGUGCUUGCAUCAACUUGACUUAAGAUCUAACCGAGUGGCGAACUGGUGAGUAACACGUGGGGAACCUGCCCUUAAGUAGGGGAUAACAUUUGGAAACAAAUGCUAAUACCGUAUAACAACAUAAACCACAUGGUUUAUGUUUGAAAGAUGGCUCUGCUAUCGCUUUUGGAUGGACCCGCGGCGUAUUAGCUAGUUGGUGAGAUAAUGGCUCACCAAGGCGAUGAUACGUAGCCGACCUGAGAGGGUAAUCGGCCACAUUGGAACUGAGACACGGUCCAGACUCCUACGGGAGGCAGCAGUGGGGAAUAUUGCACAAUGGGCGAAAGCCUGAUGCAGCAACGCCGCGUGAAGGAAGAAGGUCUUCGGAUCGUAAACUUCUGUCCUUGGGGAAGAUAAUGACGGUACCCUUGGAGGAAGCC
rnacentral:rRNA from 1 species